UGACAUCAUUUCAAGUAAAUCUACCAGUUAAUUUCUUUACUGGUAGGCAUGGGUAGGUAUAACAAGCCUGCUAUUUUAGCCGCGAAAAGCUAUAAAAGGAAUUCGGUGAUUACGUAACGAUAAGUGGACUGUAAGAGUGUGUCCGUCUCAGAUAACAACAAUUCGAAUAAUUUGGAAGAAACACGACUAAUACAUUUUGUAAAUAAAAUGGAUCCUAAGGAUUUCUCGAAAAGCUCAGGAAGCGAUGGUAUGUUUGAUGUUCAAGAAUUGUUUUUGCGUGUUCGCAAAAAUUCAUCAGUAGUCUGAUGGACCACAUCUACAGUGAAUGCGCAGCCCCAGUCACGCGAAGAUGACUGCGAUGGAAAUCAUGGCCAGACAAUAUGGACGAAACGGUACUUUACGAUGAUACGAAGAAAAUUAUACUUAGUAACUUUCGUAUGUAAAUAAGUUGUUUACUUGAAAAAAUUGAUGUGAGAAUUUUUUGAAACUGAUGUUCACAUUUGAAGAAGUUUCUUUGUGAAUGCUGGUCUCAAGUAAAGGUACACGAUAUAUUAAACAUGUAUAAACAGUAUACGAGUAUCAAAAAGAA